AAUUUAAUGAACUGGUGAGAUCUAGGUUUGGCAUAACAAGGUUAAAAAAUCAAAGAUACUCUCCGCAGAUAUGAAAUGUUAUAAAUUCAUUGCACUCAUAGGAAAAGAUCAUACAUUUUUCAAGUGAUAAGUUUAGUCCAGCAGAAUUUUGCCAUGUGGAACAUUGCUCAUCUGUACAAUGCCAUGGUUGAAACUUCUAGACUCUCACACUUUUAUAUUGUGCACUUACACUGGCACUUCCAUGUUCAGUGCAGACAUUUCAUGGCCUGCCAUCAAAGUUGCCUCAGUCUCUUAAGCAGGUUCUUUUUGCCUUCAGGGCAAAAUAUCUUUCUUGCCCUGGAACGACUCACAGGAUUGCAUCAUCCUGCACAGGGAUUAUGUCAAAAGGUCAUGGUGGUCACCAGCUGGAUGAUUCUCGCCUUCUCCUUCCCUAACACUUAUGCAUCUUUCAUGACCAAUUGUGGAUUCAUUACCAAGUCCAGGCCAGAUCUUACCCUUCUUUCCCAAUCAGAGGAAUACAUGCAACAAAAGUCCCAAUGUGCUCUCACCACAGACACAUAUUUUGCUUUUCCAUUAUGCCAACCAUACCACGAGUCUUUAUUUCCUAGGAAACAUUAAAACUUCUUCCUCUGUUUCUCUUUCCCUUGCAAGUGAAGAUCUGGGCCGACAUAGAUCUGUCCGUCCCACCAAACAGACUCUGUGGUAUAGAAGAGAGGAGAGUUUUGUCUCCCAGGGAUUGUUAUGCGAACCAUUCUCUGUUUGGACAGGUGGCAACGGGGAGUGAAGACGCUCAAGAAGCAGACAUUUUCUUUAUUACUGUAUUUAUUCCUGAAUCCUGCAUACAUUUUGCACUGAUCCCCUGCAUGUUGUAAGUCCCAUUUGUAUAUGAAGAAGCCUGCAAGAUGAAAUGACAUUCACAGUAAUUGUAUCUGGAAAAUCUGUUCUUCAGAGAUUGCAGAGAGAUGUAAGAAAUGCAUAUUACACAAGUGGAUAGAAGGUCUCAGCAAGAGACAUCUUCCACACCAGGCUGAGAAUGAAGUGUGCCUGCUUCUCCAAGCUAUUCGGUGCAAGCGAAGAUUGGAACAGUUGCAGCUAAGGCUCCUGGAUUUACACUGCAUGCAGCUCCUAUCUGUGACUUUACAGGACACCAUGCUGUCACUGCAUGCACUGCCCUGGAGAAGCUCUUGGAUGAACUCCCUGCGUAAGGGCUUGGCCACCAUCAUAUUUAGUAUCCAGCCUUCAUAAUUCUGAGAAAAUUCACCAAAUAAAGGGUUUAAACUAGAGAUGAGCCAGAAUCAGAAACCUGGAUCUUCACCAACACUCUGACCUUGGGCAUGUUUCAAUUGUUUUCCAAGCCUUUCAGUGGGGCCACUUCUGUAUGCCGGACCAAACCCAAACUCCGGAUCUAGAUAGCUGAAACUUUGCAAAGUGAUUUGGUUUCAGAUCUAAAAAACACAGUUUUAGUUUGUAAAGAAUUGAAACCAAGUUUGUAAUUACAAAAUGACGACUUUGGAUGACUGCAUUUUGAGAUGUUGGAAAUGAGAUAAAAUUAAAGAUUGUGAUCUUUUUAA